GCCGGGCGCCGAAGCUCAUGCCUGUAAUCCCAGCAGCUCGGGAGGUGGAGGCAGGAGGAUUGUGAGAGUAAAGCCAGCUUCAGCAAAAGCGAGGUGCUGAGCAACUUGGUGAGACCCUGUCUCUA
rnacentral:sRNA from 1 species